rnacentral:lncRNA from 1 species
UCGAGCUCUGUCUUGGGGAAGACGGUGGCAAUAGAAAUGGAUAAAAGAAGAAAGAAGAGGGGCACUGAAUCCAAUUAGAACUCUCUUAUGUCCCUGACACAUAGCCUACUUUGAAUUUCUAGGGGCACAAUCAAGAUCACUUAAUAGAGUGAGAUUUCCAUUCGAGUUGGGAAUUGAAGGUCUCAAAAAUGCUAACAGAGUACUCACGCCAGGACCAGGCGACAGCACAGAUGUGGGCUUCCCGGGAUACGGGCGAAUUUCCAUACAGCCUUGGGAGUGCACGGCAACCAUAGCUUCAGAGGUUGGAAAACAACUCACACGUGGGAAUAGAACACACAAUAUGAAACUCAUUUAGGGACGGCAUCCUGUAUGAGUCCAAGUUUUACAGACCCAGAAGUAAGAACCCCCGCUGUGAACAUGAGUAAUUUUCCCAACAACUUAAUGUGAAUUAAAGAAAUUAAAACGUGCUGUUGUAUUUGUUUGAACAGCUUACCUCCGAUUAUAAUAUUAAUAAUGCUGCUUUCCUUCUAUGAAGGUGCUAUUGACCCUAAAACAAUCUUAUUACACAUUUUAAAAGAAAGUGCCUGUGCAGAAAAUAAAGAAGCUAUUUUACUUCACAGCUCCAAUUAGACAAAGGACUCAGAAUAAAUUUUAAUAUAUUAAGCAAUUUGAUUCUAGUAACAAUUUA